UUUAAAUGUAAAAUAAAUAUACUAAAGUAGUAUUAGUUAUGUUCUUGAAAUUUAAAGAUUUUGGCGGUAUUUUAGUCUAUUUAGAGGAGCCUGUUCUAUAAUUGAUAAUCCACGAUUAAUUUUACUUAAUUUCUAUAAAUUUGUAUACCGUCGUUAUAAGAAGAUUUUAAAAGAAUAUAAAUUUUUAAUAUUUUAUAUAAAAAAAUAUAUCAGAUCAAGGUGCAGUUUAUAAUUAAGGAGAAAUGGGCUACAAUAAAUUUAUUUAUACGGAUUAAAAUAAGAAUAUGAUUUUAUGAAGGUGGAUUUAAUAGUAAUAAGAUUGAUUUUAAUUUUAUGAUUUUAGCUCUAAAAUAUG
rnacentral:rRNA from 1 species